rnacentral:lncRNA from 1 species
AUAUUUUCUUUCGUUUUGUCAUUUCUUUCAUUUCACAUUGUCUCUCUGUUGAUUUUAUUUAUUUAUUUAUUUUCCAUGUAGAAGCUUUUUAGUUUGUUGUACACCUAUUUGUUUAUUUUUGCUUUUGAUGCCAUGUCCCAAAAAUCAUCGCCAAGACCAACAUCGAGGAGCUUUUUCCUUAUGUUUUCUUCUAAGAAUUUUGUAGUUUUAGAUCUUAUAUUUAAUUAUUU